rnacentral:rRNA from 1 species
AUGGAGUUCGCCACGGGGGCGAUGAGCUCUCUCCUCCCCAAGUUGGGGGAGCUGCUCAUGGAGCAGUAUGAGCUGAAGGGGAGUGUGAAGAAGGGGAUUGAAGAACUCAAGGACGAGCUCGUGAGCAUUGAAGCAGCCCUUGUCAAGCUGUCCAGCAAGCAGCCCUUGUCAAGCUGUCCAGCGUGCCCCUGGAUCAACUCGACCCGCAGUGACAUCAAGAACAUUGAGAGCCAAGUUAGGAAGAUCAAGGAAAGAUAUGACAGGUACAAGAUCGAUGAUGUUGUUGCUAAUCUUGCAACGACUCCAGUUGACCCUCGUCUCCCAUCUCUGUACAAAAAGCUAUCUGACCUUGUGGGUAUUGAUAAGCCAAUUGAUGAGCUGAUAAAGAUCCUGUCCGAGGGGGUUCACAUGCCUGACAAAAAUCUCAAGAUAGUCUCCAUUGUUGGAUUUGGGGGAUUGGGAAAGACAACUCUUGCAAAAGCAUUGUAUGACAAGCUUAGCAAAACAUAUCAGUGCCAAGGUUUUAUUCCAGUGGGUCAGAAUCCAAACACAAAGAAAGUUCUCAGGGACAUCCUGCUUGAACUUGACACUGAGCUAUACGGAGCCGCAGCAACAAUGGAUGAAAGGGUCGUGCAACACGAUCACGCUUGGCUCGUCACCGGAGCCGACGAAGGGCACCUGUGGGCGUCAUCCUUGACCCACGGCAUGGGUCCUGUUCAGCCCCUGCCGGCAAGCUCAUCCCCGCCUCGGCAUGCAUACCACGAGCUCGAGUUGGAAGGGAGCACGGGAGAUUUGGGUCCAUGUCAACCAAGGUUUUUCCCUGCACGGCUAUACCCCUCGGCUACAGCAGCCGCCGAGGUGGUGGCAGGAGAUUGCGCUUGGCAGGAACACAGCACAGCUGGGUGCGGCUCCUCCCACUCGGACGAUGUCGACCCUGCCUUCGUAGCUUGGUCCAUGGCGAGGAUGUGCUGGCCGCGUCAGACAAGAGAGGAUGGAGGGGGCACUAGCGAGGGUCUCAUCCAUGUCGGAGGAACUAGCUUGCCCUCAUCGGAGCACCAGCACUAG